rnacentral:lncRNA from 1 species
ACGAAGCGUUUACACUGGGCGAAGGUGUUCUUCAUCUCCAGCGCUUCCCACUAUACGGACACCAGCGCAAAAGAGCAGCAGAUCCUCAUCCACACGACUGCAUAUCAGCGUAACGGUUGGAGAGAUUUGUCCUUGUGAGGGCACAACGCUCUCCACUGUCUCAGCACACUGUGCUGGCUAAAAAUAC